UAGAAACCCAUGAGUGAAAGUAAAGGAGAAUAUGGUAUAAUAUGUCAACCACACCAUAUCUGUCAUAUCCAGUGCCAACGAGGCCUUUUACCUGAUACCAGGGCUCAUCAUGCUGGUUGGGAUAUGACUGACAUAGUAGUAGUCUAGGCACUGCAUAUAUCACCAGGUUUUCAUGAACAACUGUUAAAUUACAAAUCAGUUUUUAGGGUCGAGUUCGAACCAAGACAGUUAAGAAGGCGUCACGUGUAAUAAUUGAGAAGUAUUAUACACGUCUUACCCUGGACUUUCACACAAAUAAGAGGAUAUGUGAGGAGAUAGCAGUAAUACCCAG